GAAGGAAGGAAGGAAGGAAGAAAGGUAAGAAGAAAAGAAAAGAAAUCCCAACAACAAAAACAUCAAGAGUCAUUAGAGGACGAUAAUUCCAGGGUGACUUGGUACGAUGGUCACUAGCUGGAAAUUCUCUGCCUUCCAAAGAAGGAAGCCAGCAUUCAUUCCCACGAUCCUGCCACCAAGCUGAGGACCUGCUGACCCAAGUUCCUUCUUUUCUUGCUAUUGGCUAACACUGUUCAUAAAACAGAGUUGGCCGUUUCACUCUUGCUUUAAAUGAACAAGCUGCAUCGUAUGGGGAGACAGCCAGGAGAGAGGGCAGAGUCGGAAGGCAGGGCAAGCGGGAGGAGGCCGGGCGCAGAAGGAAGCACACAGUUCCUCCCUAUCUGCACUCCAACCUGGAUCUACAACCUUUCCAGGAGAGCAGUGGUACCAGGGAAGGAUUUGUUUCUUUGGCUGUAGAGAAGACUUGGAACUUCUUGAAUUGGGAAGAUAAAAGAUGAAGGAGACCAUCUGUUAGAGGCCACCUGUAGCAACCUGAAGACACUUUGAGCUCCAAAAGACAUAUGAUGGCCUUCUUAUUCUAGUUUUUGGGCCUGGAUUUGGGAAAGUAAGGGUCGAGUAGUUGUUCAAGAGACAAGAUAGAGAAAACUUAUGUCUUAGCCUCUGUCCAACUCCAUAUCAGAAAUGGAACCAACUGGGGCCUUCAGCAAUAAUAGUGACAGGAACUGUACAAUAGAAAGCUUCAAGAAAGAAUUUUAUCCCAUCAUAUAUCUGAUCAUAUUUGUCUGGGGAGCCUUGGGAAAUGGCUUUUCCAUAUAUGUCUUCCUACAGACUUACAAGAAGUCCACCUCUGUGAAUGUUUUCAUGCUCAACCUCGCCAUUUCAGAUUUCCUGUUCAUAAGCACCCUGCCCUUCAGGGCGGACUAUUAUUUCAGAGAGUCCAAUUGGAUAUUUGGGGAUCUAGCCUGCAGAAUCAUGUCUUAUUCCUUAUAUGUCAACAUGUACACUAGCAUUUAUUUUUUAACUGUGCUGAGUGUUGUGCGUUUCCUGGCCACUGUCCACCCUUUUCAACAGCUCCAUGUCACCAGCGUCAGGAGUGCCUGGAUCCUCUGUGGGGUCAUAUGGAUUUUUAUCAUGGCUUCCUCAGCGAUGCUUCUGAAGAAUGGCUAUGAGAAGAAGGACAACAUUAUAUUGUGCCUGGAGCUGACUCCCCAAAAGUUUAGUAAGCUACUGAUCAUGAACCACAUUGCAUUAGUGGCAGGCUUCCUGCUUCCAUUUGUCACACUCACCAUCUGCUACCUCCUGAUCAUCCGGGUCUUGUUGAAGGUGGAGAUUCCAGAGUCGGGUCUGCGGGCUUCUCAUAGGAAGGCGUUGAUCACCAUCAUCAUUGCCAUGCUCAUCUUCCUCCUCUGUUUCCUGCCUUACCAUGCACUGCGGACCCUCCACUUGGUCACAUGGAAUGCAGAUUCAUGUGGGGAUGAGAUACAUAAGGCCAUGGUCAUCACACUGGCCUUGGCUGCAACCAAUAGCUGCUUCAAUCCCUUUCUCUACUACUUUGCUGGGGAGAAUUUCAAAGAUCGAUUAAGGGAUGUGUUCAGUAAAGAUCGUCUACAGAAAUCAAAGGCAAAGUGUGGCCUUCCCUUUUGUGUAUAGUUGAAGAACAGAAUUAAGAGUUCAGGGAGCUGCUAUGCAGGUAUGGAGGACACCAUGAAUCUUGGUGCCCACCUUCAUUCACUCAUGGUCUCCAAAUUACUUUGUAGCAUCAUAACCAGUGAGUCUUGGUUCUCAACAUUUAAUUGACUACAACUUUGCUAGUAAAGCCUAUUUCAGAAAUUUCAUUAGAUGUAUUUUUAGUAGUUGGGACUAAAUGAGAAACAUAGGAAACAUGUUUCUACUGGAAUAUUGCAUUCUGAAAUGUAACAUUGGGAAAAAUUGUCCAGCACAGUAAGCCAUGCUUUGCUUCAGAUCCCUAUGCUAGGCCUCUGGCCCAGGCAGUCUAAUUUCCUAACUUUAAGACAUCCUCAAGCACCCCAGCUUCUCCAGAUCCUAUCCCCCUUAAGGCUCUCGAGACAUAGCCAAACCUACUGGGGGCCUUGGUGCAUCUUGGAGAGCAUCCUAAGAACUCAGGAGUGGUCUUUGGUUUGAAGAGGAAGCCUGCUCUGGAACAAAGCAAGUCCAGACAAUAUUGGAGAAAAAGGAGGAGAAGGAUUAAGACAAAAGAGAGUGAGCAAUACCAAGAGAAAGCGGCUACAGACACUACCAGUUAUUCACAUGACCAUUGUGUUGAUCCUGAUAGUCAAGUGUCAUCCCCAUGCUGAGAAGCCUGAGCAGCUACCAGAGUGAUAACAGACAGAUGUCAGAGAAAGGCCCCGGAACAUCUGCCUACUAGAAAACUGUAUCCCAGAGAAAAGGCUGAAAGAUAACUGGGACUCCUCCAACCCCAAAUCUAAGCAUCUGCUUUAUUAUUUACCUGACAGUGAAGACUACAAUCUGAUACAUCUGCUGCAUUCCCAGAAAGCAUCUAGCCAAGUGAGUCCAGUCCCACUCUUGACCGAACAAGUCAAUGAUCACACUUCCAAUGGAAAACCCCUAAGAUGCAAGGCACCAACAAGGAAGAACACAGAGGGAGACAUUGUUAGUAGGAAAGGGCUCAGCAUUUUAUUACUCUUACACUUGGAUCAGAAAGCACUGGUGUGUUGCUCCCAGACAAGAGGAGACAGGCAGCCAAGAAAGCAGAAAUCUGGCAAAGGUGAAGACAACUCCCAGGAGGGCUAGAAAGCAGCUCAUAUAGGUAGGUCCAGGAAUGCUGGGAAGGAUAGCACCAAGAACAAGAAACCAUUGGAGGAGCACACGUGGAGAGGGAGAGCUUGAGACAAACACAUAGAUAAACAGCCUGAUGCAGUCAUUAUUAUACUAGAGAAAAGUGUUAGCUAAGAGCAUGAAUAAUAACUUGCACACACUACAUGGUUGCAUAUUUACACAGAGAAUGACACACAGGUAGAAACACUACGAUAGCAUCUUUCUCAGGAAAUGUGUGGGGUGCAUAUGCCCAUAGGGGAAAGAGGUACAGAAGCUUGGUUUUCCAUCUUCUAUCAGAGAGAAUUCAUGCUAACCAAAGCUGGGAGCAAUAAAUAGCCACACAGCAUGCUGUCUAACCACGGGGAGUAAAUGCUGGGAGAAGAAGCAAAAAGAACUGGAAGAGGUUGUAUCCAAAGAGAAGUUGAGGGUGGGAUGUUUGGUUUUAGUAAUUGUCAACCUGAAUAAUUUGUGAAUAUGUACUGCUGAAAUAAAAUGAAACCUU